CAGAGCUCCUUUAUGCAGGGAAACCUACUGGACAGAAAUUAUGAAAGUGAUUGGAGAUAUAUCGAUGCAGGACAAGAUGGUGAUCUACGACAAUGAGAGGCAAUUGCUGGGAUGUGAAUCUAAAGAUUGCAGUAGACCUCCAAAGCCCAGAGCAUUCGCAGCAAUUGACAGGAAGCUCCUUGCCGUAUCUCUGUACUUCCAUAUCAGAAUCAUGGAAGCGCCGUGCAUCAAACCAAGCCUUCACCUAGGAAGCUCAUCAUUGCCAAGUCACUUGUAAAUAAGCCCUGAUUAAUGUUUUCCUUUGUCUUUACUGUACUGGAUGUUACAAAAUUGCUUACGGGUAUUACCCCAAGUGAACUCAAUUACAGCCAUUCUUAAUAAGUAUUGCCAUGUUGAGGAUCAGUAGAAACUGAUCCUUGUACAUACUUUACCUUCU